UACAGAGGUCUCAAGCGUUGUUCGGAUUCAUUGGGCGUAAAGGGUGCGUAGGUGGCGCGCUAAGUCGGGUGUGAAAUUUCGGAGCUUAACUCCGAAACUGCAUUCGAUACUGGCGUGCUUGAGGACUGGAGAGGAGACUGGAAUUCAUGGUGUAGCAGUGAAAUGCGUAGAGAUCAUGAGGAAGGCCAGUGGCGAAGGCGGGUCUCUGGACAGUUCCUGACACUGAGGCACGAAGGUCAGGGGAGCAAACGGG
rnacentral:rRNA from 1 species